AACUGCCGAGCCGAGAAGUUUGUGACGAAUCGAAUUUACUGUAAGUUCGCUCAUCUCUAUCUCGAAUAGCUAAGACAAAUAUUGCAAAACUACAACUCCCAGCAUGCUUGGAUAGCUGAUCCAGAUGUUGAAAAACUACAACUCCCAGCAUGCUCUUGAAUAACUAAGACAAAUAUUGCAAAACUACAACCCCCAGCAUGCUCUCGAAUAGCUGAUUCAAAUAUUGCAAAACUACAACCCCCAGCAUGCUCUCGAAUAGCUGAUUCAAAUAUUGCAAAACUACAACUCCCAGCAUGCUCUCGGAUAGCUGAUCUAGAUGUUGCAAAACUACAACUCCCAGCAUGCUCUCGGAUAGCUAAUCUAGAUGUUACAAAACUACAACUCCCAGCAUACAGGGACAGCCGUUGGCCAUUCGAACAUGUUAGGAGUUGUAGUUUUAUAGAGGUGCCCAGGUGGGAGAUCACUGUUACAGGAAACUAAUCGGGGGAAGAGAAACAAUGUAACACAAUCUGACGGGUCAGAUGCAAGUGACAAACUGCGCCUCCCAUGUGACCGCGGCCUUAGAGGAGGCGACAUUUCCAGCAUUCUUAGGGUUCCUGACCUCGUACUUCAUGCACAAUGUUCCUUCUCCGGCCGCCAUGAUUAGAUCCUGAUUAUAACCGGGAUCCGAGCGCCGGAUGUCUGGGGGGACAGCGGUGACUGUAGAUAUAAGCACAUGUGAAGUAUGGUACUGCGCUGCCCCCUAAUGGUGGACUAAGCUCACAGCACACGUCUUGUCCUUGAUUAAAAAAAAUAAUAAUAAUAAUAAUAAUAAUUGGUUUCUAUCAAAAUCGGCGCCACCCUUGUUCUCAGGUCACAUCUGGUAUUGCAGCUCUGUACUUUUUCGGUGUAAUACCAGACACAGCCCAUGGGGGGAGCAGCCUGGCCUAGAAGAAACUUAUAGGUUAAAUCAGUGUUACCCCGUAGUAAAGCUAUAACGCCCGACACUUGUUGGUUCUCCAGCUGUUGCAGAACUGUAACUCCCAGCAUGCCCUGCUAGUUUUUAGCUGUCAUAGAAAUGCAGGGAUUUAACCCAACUCCUGCCAAUAGAUGAACAGUGCAGAUCCCACAGUCCAGACCAGUGUUUCCCAACCAGGGUGCCUCCAGCUGUUGCAAAACUACAACUCCCAGCAUGCCCGGACAGCCAUUGGCUGUCCGGGCAUGGUGGGAGUUGUAGUUUUGCAACAGCUGGAGGCACCCUGGUUGGGAAACACUAGGGUGGCUUCUUGCAAAAGGUCUAGACUAGUGUUUCCCAACCAGGCAGCCUCCAGCUGUUGCAAAACUACAACUCCUAGCAUGCUGUUUGGGAAACACUGGUCUGGACUGUGGGGUCUGCAAUGUUUAACAGCAGUUGUGAUCACCACAGCGCCCCCACCUGCUUAAUAUGUCACAUUGCAAUGUAUUUACAGUACAAUAAGUAGAACAGCGCUCCCCAGGGACGGCAGCUGCGAUGUCUCUUUACGUGGACGGUCAGACUAUGGGAGAAACAACGCCCAGUACAGAGGUUGUAGCUGAGCUCUCCCCGCGCUGCGCUCUGCUGCUCCGAGCAGUGAACUAUUCUAUGAUCUGCAGAAAUAUCAUUUAUAGGACGUUCAGCUCCGGAGCUGCUGGUGCGAUCAUCUGCAGAGGACGCCCAGGUCUGCGCUUUCCUUAAAGGAACUGGUCAAUAAUAUGCAGCAAUUAGUGUAGCAGAGCCGAGUGUUACUACAAAGAGGAGCGGAUUAUAGAGAGCAAGAAAAGUGUUAUCCUGGGGGAUGGGAUGACUGAUCCUACUGAUCCCCGAGACCGAUCACUGCACAAGGGUUAACUUUAUUUUCUUCUUAAUGUCACUGCUGAUCCUCAUAUUAUAUAUAGAAUGAAUCUCCAUAAACACCUGAGUCAUUGUACAAUUAUUACUGAUCCUGAGUUAUAUCCUGUAUUAUACUCCAGAGCUGCACUCACUAUUCUGCUGGUGAGGUCAAUGUGUACAUACAUUACAUUACUUAUCCUGUACUGAUCCUGAGUUAUAUCCUGUAUUAUACUCCAGAGCUGUACUCACUAUUCUGCUGGUGAGGUCACUGUGUACAUACAUUACAUUACUUAUCCUGUACUGAUCCUGAGUUAUAUCCUGUAUUAUACUCCAGAGCUGCACUCACUAUUCUGCUGGUGAGGUCACUGUGUACAUACAUUACAUUACUUAGCCUGUACUGAUCCUGAGUUAUAUCCUGUAUUAUACUCCAGAGCUGCACUCACUAUUCUGCUGGUGAGAUCACUGUGUACAUACAUUACUUAUCCUGUACUGAUCCUGAGUUAUAUCCUGUAUUAUACCCCAGAGCUGUACUCACUAUUCUGCUGGUGGGGUCACUGUGUACAUACAUUACAUUACUUAUCCUGUACUGAUCCUGAGUUAUAUCCUGUAUUAUACCCCAGAGCUGUACUCACUAUUCUGCUGGUGAGGUCACUGUGUACAUACAUUACAUGACUUAUCCUGUACUGAUCCUGAGUUAUAUCCUGUAUUAUACUCCAGAGCUGCACUCACUAUUCUGCUGGUGAGAUCACUGUGUACAUACAUUACUUAUCCUGUACUGAUCCUGAGUUAUAUCCUGUAUUAUACCCCAGAGCUGUACUCACUAUUCUGCUGGUGGGGUCACUGUGUACAUACAUUACAUUACUUAUCCUGUACUGAUCCGGAGUUAUAUCGUGUAUUAUAUACCCCAGAGGUGUACUCACUAUUCUGCUGGUGAGGUCACUGUGUACAUACAUUACUUAUCCUGUACUGAUCCUGAGUUAUAUCCUGUAUCAUACUCCAGAGCUGUACUCACUAUUCUGCUGGUGAGAUCACUGUGUACAUACAUUACAUUACUUAUCCUGUACUGAUCCUGAGUUAUAUCGUGUAUUAUAUACCCCAGAGGUGUACUCACUAUUCUGCUGGUGAGGUCACUGUGUACAUACAUUACUUAUCCUGUACUGAUCCUGAGUUAUAUCCUGUAUUAUACUCCAGAGCUGUACUCACUAUUCUGCUGGUGAGGUCACUGUGUACAUACAUUACAUUACUUAUCCUGUACUGAUCCUGAGUUAUAUCGUGUAUUAUACUCCAGAGGUGCACUCACUAUUCUGCUGGUGAGGUCACUGUGUACAUACAUUACAUCACUUAUCCUGUACUGAUCCUGAGUUAUAUCCUGUAUUAUACUCCAGAGCUGUACUCACUAUUCUGCUGGUGAGGUCACUGUGUACAUACAUUACAUUACUUAUCCUGUACUGAUCCUGAGUUAUAUCCUGUAUUAUACCCCAGAGCUGUACUCACUAUUCUGCUGGUGAGGUCACUGUGUAUAUACAUUACAUUACUUAUCCUGUACUGAUCCUGAGUUAUAUCCUGUAUUAUACUCCAGAGCUGUACUCACUAUUCUGCUGGUGAGGUCACUGUGUACAUACAUUACAUUACUUAUCCUGUACUGAUCCUGAGUUAUAUCCUGUAUUAUACUCCAGAGCUGUACUCACUAUUCUGCUGGUGGGAUCACUGUGUACAUACAUUACAUUACUGAUCCUGUACUGAUCCUGAGUUAUAUCCUGUAUUAUACUCCAGAGCUGCACUCACUAUUCUGCUGGUGAGAUCACUGUGUAUAUACAUUACAUUACUUAUCCUGUACUGAUCCUGAGUUGCAUCCUGUAUGUACAUAGUGACCCCACCAGCAGAAUAGUGAGUGCAGCUCAGGAUCUUUACUGUCUGUAGUUAAUGAUUCUGCUGUGUAUGGAGAUUUUUUCUAUAUUUUUGUCAUAGCUCUCAGGGAAAUGUGCAGUUUUGAUCGGUCGGGGUCUCAGUAAAGGAUGGGCGGGGAGGAAAGCGGCAGCAGUGCGUUUUAUUUACUGACACUCAUCGAUCGCUGUCUCACUUCUCCAUUAUAAGUCUACGGGGCAGUCGAUAAGUAAAUUGCGCUGCUGCCGCUUUCCUCCUGAGACCCCGACCGAUCAAAACUUCACAUCUCCCUCUGAGAGGACCAAUGUUUUUUGUCCCGGUCCCCACUGUAAUGAUUUCUCCCUCACGUUUUCCUAUAUUUUGCGCCUUCCCCUAUCUUUGAUUAUUUCGUAGACGCCGAUCACCUUCCUCUUUUCGCUUCCAUCUCUCGCCGGUUUGGGGCAAAAUCUGAUUAAAAUAAUACAAUCCGCUGUGAAGAUAUUUUUGUACAAUAUUUUUUUAUUUGAAUUGUAAAAUUCUUUUACGUUUUCGUUUUUUUUGUUAAACACUAUAAUAAAAGUGAGGACAAUAAACCAUGACCUGUGACAGAACUACAACUCCCAGCAUGCCCUGCAGCUCUCCACUAUAGACUGGUUCAGCUGUGGAACACUUCCGGUAUAAGGUAUCUGGCUGUGCGCUGUGGGCGGAGCUCCUCCACCUGAGACGAUUGUCUGGACACUUGAAUCCUAUUUUUUGGGGGGUUUUUUAGUUUUAUUUUCGCACUUACGUUUUUUUAGUUGUUUUUGCUGUCGAUACAUUUCUAUGCAAUUGUUGUUUUUCCGGUUUCUCUUCCUAUUUAUGAAGAUGUUUUUAUUAAAGUGACAUUUGCCGCCGCUGACACUGCCGUUGUUGCCGCCGCCGCGGGCGAGGUUUCCUCCGUGUGUAUUUAAUGCUCAGUUGUUCUUCCUGUCAGUGAUCUCUGUAUAUUUGAUGUCUUGUAAUGAGGAACCAAAGAGUACAUUUUGAGAUUUAAUCCAUUUUAUUUUUUGGGUAGUUGUAAUUUUUCUCAUUUUAUCUUUUCGGAUUAAAUAAAAAAAAAAAACCUUAGUA